GGCCCGCCGUCCUCCAUGGGCGGGGGAGGGAAGCAGGUGGAUGAUCCGACUCCAGCCGUCAAGGCCCCCUGACCUGUCCUGCCCUCCUCUUGCCGUGACUUACGCUUGGAAAGGAACUAGCAUUUCUGGUUGGGCGUGUUUUAUUUAUAGUGCAAGAACAUCUACCGCAUUCCCCACAAAGUGGGCCGAUGUAGCUACCAGCCUCCCGGGCCAGCCGGAGCCCAUCAGCAGGUCCCACGGAGCAGGAGCCCCCCUGUCGCGAGCCGUUCACAGCCCGGGACCAGAAAGGACGGGGACGCCCGCAGCCGAGAUGGGUGUUUAUGCGGAUGGGCUCAGGCACCAGGGGCACCUCGCUCUCUGCGAGUUUCCUCCAACCACGUCUCGCGUUCAGGUGCCCGGAAAGUGCAGGUUAUUUCUGCCUGGACGUUGGCGGGAACCAGCCUGUGGGCAGAUCCAUCCAGUGGAGACUUUUGUAAAGGCACACCUUCCUGAGACCAUCGGACAGAUGCAGCUUCAGGAUACCUGUGACUCACAACCGAAGGUCUCCUGAACUCAGGGGCGCAGAAAACCCCUACCACGCAGGAGUGCCAGGACCCCAGCCUUCUCUCCUCGGGAGUUACUGUGAUGGAAAAAAACACGCAACCUAGAAGUUGGGAGAUGUGUGUUAUUCAGCAGACAAAACCGAGGACUUAAGCCGGGACACAGGGGGUCAGAGAAUUCUGAGAAACUGCAUCAAAGAGGCCAGGAGUCUUUGCCACAAAGACCAGGCGAAAGAACAUCAAAGAUGGCUGUUGACUGAAGAAAACCAGACGUCCCAAAUGAGGGAGCCGAGCACCCUUCUAGGCCUGGGGACAUGCCAGAGGCUGGGGCGUGGAAGCCAGGCCUUCACUGUGCACCUCAGCUCCCUGAGUGUCCUGAGUUUUCUCACUCCGAGUUUCCUUAGGCUGCACCUUCGGGGGCGGGGGGUUGGCUGCAGGGCGGGCUCGUCUCCUCCCUGAGUUCCCCGGGGGCCCGUCCCUCCUCCGCUCCGGGUGGGAGGCUGGGAUGUGUGGGCUUGACGGUGGCAGCCUCCUCUGUUUACCGAUACGGCAGCAGCCUGGUUCACUCCCAUUGCUGACUCCCCAGGCACGGCUUUCUCACUGGUGUCACGGGCAGUGGUGGGUCUACUUGACCAGUGACCCGUGGACAGGCCCCUAAACCACGCCUGGCCCAGUGUGCAAAUGGCUGAACCCAACUCUCAGACCUGCCCAACUUUUUGGCUUUCCUUUUUUCCAAAUUUCAGGGCACCUUUCUUUUUUAAUUUUUUUGGGUCUUUUUAGGAUUGCACUCUCGGCAUAUGAAGGUUCCCAGGCUAAGGGUCGAAUUGGAGCUACAGCUGCCGACCAACACCACAGCCACAGCCACAUCCACGCCAGAUCUGAGCCGCCUCUUCGACCUACACCACAGCUCCCGGCAAUGCCAGGUCCUUAACCACCGAGCAAGGCCAGGGGUGGAACCUGCGACCUCACGGAUGCUCGUCAGACUCAUGUCCGCUGUGCCGUGACGGGACCUCCCAGGGCACUUUCACGAUGAGAAGAUGAAGCAUAUAGCUGGCCCAGGGUUGGUCCUGCAAAGGUUUCCAAAUUUGCUUUCCUAUGAAAAGGUGGUUUGGGGAAUAACCCCCAUACAUGUGUAAGCGGACGGGUGAGCAUAGUAAGACGUCCGCGUGUCACCCGGAAUCUCACUUACAGGACAGGCAGAGAAAGGACGAAAGGAACGGGAUGGAAUCCAAAGCACAUUCUAGCACUUUUUUCUCAGCCCCUCACCCUCCGGGCGGCCUCUCCUGGGCGCCCACUCCUGCCUCGAGGGCCCCAGGGUCCCCCGUUCCUCUGAUGCUUCUAAGCAGGUGCGGAAGCCUCUCCUGUCCUGUGCUUCAGACCCUGUGGGGUCGUCCCCAGCUUCAGGCAGGUAAGCCCCACCUCCUCACACCUUCCCCCUUCCGAGCCCGGGGGUCUGCCGGCGGGAUGGGGGGCUCCCCUGUCCCUCACCCUCUUCCGGGGCCUCCCCUCCUGCCGGUUCAGUGGAAAGAGGCGCCGUUUUUCCAGACGCCUUACUGAAGAUGCAGGUUAGGAGGAAGCAGAACCCCUGGAAUGGAGUCCCCAAGGGCCUGAACUGCCACCCCUGCAGAGUGUAGGCAUCCCCGCUCAGGGAGCUGGGGACCGGGACACAGUGUGAGGCGGGGGCGGAGCACCCCACGGAUGGCUGGGCGACUUGCUCACCCAAGGCUGAGUGUGCAGCCCCCCAGGGCAGGUGUCAUCAGUGCCUGUCUCAGGGGCCUUCGGGGACAAGUGGGGACAGGGCGUGGCGGGGGGGCUGGCAGGACGCGGCUCGACUCCCUUUGCUCUUCUGAAGGCCCGCUCUGCUCCUUCCCUGACCGUGGCCCUGGGCACGAGCCGUAACCUGCCUGGGCCGAGGUCCCUCAUCUGGGCCGUGGGAGGCCUGGGCAGCUGGAGGGAGAGCCCGCCCCUGACCCCGUGAG
rnacentral:lncRNA from 9 species